rnacentral:rRNA from 1 species
GUAGGUGGCAAGCGUUGUCCGGAAUUAUUGGGCGUAAAGCGCGCGCAGGCGGGUCCUUUAAGUCUGAUGUGAAAGCCCACGGCUCAACCGUGGAGGGUCAUUGGAAACUGGGGGACGUUGAGUACAGAAGAGGAAAGCGGAAUUCCAAGUGUAGCGGUGAAAUGCGUAGAGAUUUGGAGGAACACCAGUGGCGAAGGCGGCUUUCUGGUCUGUAACUGACGCUGAGGCGCGAAAGCGUGGGGAGCAAACAGGAUUAGAUACCCUGGUAGUCCACGCCGUAAACGAUGAGUGCUAAGUGUUAGGGGGUUUCCGCCCCUUAGUGCUGCAGCUAACGCAUUAAGCACUCCGCCUGGGGAGUACGGCCGCAAAGGCUG